GGCUUUAUAUUCAAUAUAUGAUUUUAGAUUGCAAAUCUGAAGUAGUGUAGUUUUUACACUAAAGCUU
rnacentral:tRNA from 1 species